AGCGUUGAAACACCGGUUCCCGUACGAUCACCGAAGUUAAGCAACGUCGAGCCUGGUCAGUAGCUAGAUGGGCGAAAAUACG